rnacentral:rRNA from 1 species
UACGAAGGGGGCUAGCGUUGCUCGGAAUUACUGGGCGUAAAGCGCACGUAGGCGGCUUUCUAAGUCGGGGGUGAAAUCCUGGAGCUCAACUCCAGAACUGCCUUCGAUACUGGAAAGCUCGAGUCCGGGAGAGGUGAGUGGAACUGCGAGUGUAGAGGUGAAAUUCGUAGAUAUUCGCAAGAACCCCAGUGGCGAAGGCGGCUCACUGGCCCGAUACUGACGCUGAGGCACGAAAGCGUGGGGAGCAAACAG